rnacentral:tRNA from 1 species
GGGUCGUUAGCUCAGUCGGUAGAGCAGUUGACUUUUAAUCAAUUGGUCGCAGGUUCGAACCCUGUACGACCCACCA